rnacentral:rRNA from 1 species
GACGAACGCUGGCGGCGUGCCUAAUACAUGCAAGUCGAACGGACAUUUUUGGAAAGUUCUUCGGAACUGGAAUCUAAAUGUUAGUGGCGGACGGGUGAGUAACGCGUGAGCAAUCUGCCUUUCAGGGGGGGAUAACAGCCGGAAACGGCUGCUAAUACCGCAUAACAUUUGAGGGUGGCAUCACUCUUGAAUCAAGGGAGCAAUCCGCUGUAAGAUGGCUUCGCGUCCGAUUAGACAGUUGGCGGGGUAACGGCCCACCAAAUCUACGAUCGGUAGCCGGACUGAGAGGUUGAACGGCCACAUUGGGACUGAGACACGGCCCAG